rnacentral:tRNA from 1 species
AAUUGGAACCUGUGUGGCAGAAAUUGCGCUUAAUUUAGGUUUAAGUUAUUGUUCAGGUUG